CAUUAUGAAUCAGAUUUGUUCCAAUUUAAAAUUACUUUGUUCCAAUUAUGUCCACCAUUCCCUAAUUCAUUAUUUUUGGAAUUAGGCCAUGAAUUGAUACUUUUUUUUUUCACUAUUCUUUUUGUGUGGUAUGAACAAUUGUGCUUUAGAUGGAAUAUCAAGGAAAUGCGUAUUUUAGCAACCUAAUGAACGAGUUUGACGUUGACCAUGAUUUUACCACUGCAUUAUGCUGUCCUGUUUUUGCAGGUGUUCUGGUUGCACUCAAGAGUACAAUCUCCACCAUCCGAUCAUCCUCGACGAGGCCACCGACUUCUUCAAUAAACACGGCGUAUCUGACUUCACCUUCGAUACUUGUAGACUCUGGGGAUGGAGGUGCCGCGCAAAACUCGCAGUAAGUUUGAGUUCAGUUGUGUGUUUCUCUACACUUGAUUUUGAAGAGGGUUUUUCGCGUUCUAGGCCGUGGUUCAAUCCUCUGUUCGGUUCGAAUCUCAAUAAGUUUGAGUUCAGUUGUGUGUUUUUUAAGUGAUGUGUUUCGACACUUUUGCCUUGAUAGAUUUACUAUUUGUUUAUUUUUUUUGUUUCUUCGAGAUUCAUAUGUUUGAGUGGUCUCAUCCCAGUUGGAACCACAAUUCUAUCUCCACCAUGGUUCUAACAAGUUUCUUGUUUUAGAUCGUAGAAACGUCACCCCAUUAGGCAAUUCUUGCAAUUAAGUUUCUUGUUAUGGCAUUUUUUUUUGUUUAUUUUUUAUUUUUUUAUCAAUGGGAUGUGUGUUAGUCCACUAGGUGGUGUUGUUGUAUCUUGUUUGAUUGCAUUCUUGAGUUUUCUAAGUAGUCUCAAGAUAAGGUUGCUGUUCUUCACGUAUAAACCGUUAGCUUGCAAUUCCUUGGUGAUUCUUUCAAGGGUUAAGUGCCUUUCUUUUGCAUUAAGAGUAUAUGGUAUUCAACAUGAAGACAACACUAAGAAACGACCCCUAAGGUAAUUGAGUUACAGAAUUGAUCUAAACAAAGUAAUAAACUAAGGAUCAUGUAUAAAAACACAAUAAUGUGACACAAAAGAAGGCCCAUGGAACACUAGCUGAGCCCAUGCGCAGAAAAUCUUAAAAAUGAAAAAAGAAGA